rnacentral:rRNA from 1 species
CAGCCGCCGCGGGAAUACGUAGGUGGCAAGCGUUGUCCGGAAUUAUUGGGCGUAAAGGGCUCGCAGGCGGUUUCUUAAGUCUGAUGUGAAAGCCCCGGCUCAACCGGGGAGGGUCAUUGGAAACUGGGAAACUUGAGUGCAGAAGAGGAGAGUGGAAUUCCACGUGUAGCGGUGAAAUGCGUAGAGAUGUGGAGGAACACCAGUGGCGAAGGCGACUCUCUGGUCUGUAACUGACGCUGAGGAGCGAAAGCGUGGGGAGCGAACAGGAUUAGAUACCCCGGUAGUCCCUGUCUCUUAUACC